rnacentral:rRNA from 1 species
GAUGAACGCUGGCGGCGUGCCUAAUACAUGCAAGUCGAGCGAACGGACGAGAAGCUUGCUUUUCUGAUGUUAGCGGCGGACGGGUGAGUAACACGUGGAUAACCUACCUAUAAGACUGGGAUAACUUCGGGAAACCGGAGCUAAUACCGGAUAAUAUUUUGAACCGCAUGGUUCAAAAGUGAAAGACGGUCUUGCUGUCACUUCUAGAUGGAUCCGCGCUGCAUUAGCUAGUUGGUAAGGUAACGGCUUACCAAGGCAACGAUGCAUAGCCGACCUGAGAGGGUGAUCGGCCACACUGGAACUGAGACACGGUCCAGACUCCUACGGGAGGCAGCAGUAGGGAAUCUUCCGCAAAGGGCGAAAGCCUGACGGAGCAACGCCGCGUGAGUGAUGAAGGUCUUCGGAUCGUAAAACUCUGUUAUUAGGGAAGAACAUAUGUGUAAGUAACUGUGCACAUCUUGACGGUACCUAAUCAGAAAGCCACGGCUAACUACGUG